UCUACGGGCGGCAGCAGUGGGGAAUAUUGCACAAUGGGCGAAAGCCUGACCCAGCAACGCCGCGUGAGCGAUGAAGGCCUUCGGGUCGUAAAGCUCUGUCCUCAAGGAAGAUAAUGACGGUACUUGAGGAGGAAGCCCCGGCUAACUACGUGCCAGCAGCCGCGGUAAUA
rnacentral:rRNA from 1 species